rnacentral:pre_miRNA from 1 species
CAUUCCAUGCAAGUGUUUUCUAUAUGUAUAGAUAAUAUUGAAAACCUUGUUUGGAUUGGC